rnacentral:rRNA from 1 species
GUAGGUGGCAAGCGUUGUCCGGAAUUAUUGGGCGUAAAGCGCGCGCAGGCGGUCCUUUAAGUCUGAUGUGAAAGCCCACGGCUCAACCGUGGGGGGUCAUUGGAAACUGGGGGACUUGAGUACAGAAGAGGAAAGCGGAAUUCCAAGUGUAGCGGUGAAAUGCGUAGAGAUUUGGAGGAACACCAGUGGCGAAGGCGGCUUUCUGGUCUGUAACUGACGCUGAGGCGCGAAAGCGUGGGGAGCAAACAGGAUUAGAUACCCUGGUAGUCCACGCCGUAAACGAUGAGUGCUAAGUGUUAGGGGGUUUCCGCCCCUUAGUGCUGCAGCUAACGCAUUAAGCACUCCGCCUGGGGAGUACGGCCGCAAGGCUG